rnacentral:rRNA from 1 species
AUUGAACGCUGGCGGCAUGCCUUACACAUGCAAGUCGAACGGCAGCACGGGUGCUUGCACCUGGUGGCGAGUGGCGAACGGGUGAGUAAUACAUCGGAACGUACCCAGCAGUGGGGGAUAACGCACCGAAAGGUGCGCUAAUACCGCAUACGACCUACGGGUGAAAGCGGGGGACCGUAAGGCCUCGCGCUAUUGGAGCGGCCGAUGUCUGAUUAGCUAGUUGGCGGGGUAAUAGCCCACCAAGGCGACGAUCAGUAGCUGGUCUGAGAGGACGAUCAGCCACACUGGGACUGAGACACGGCCCAGACUCCUACGGGAGGCAGCAGUGGGGAAUUUUGGACAAUGGGGGCAACCCUGAUCCAGCAAUGCCGCGUGUGCGAAGAAGGCCUUCGGGUUGUAAAGCACUUUUGUCAGGGAAGAAAUCUUUCAGGCUAAUACCCUUGGAAGGAUGACGGUACCUGAAGAAUAAGCACCGGCUAACUACGUGCCAGCCGCCGCCGUAA